AAUGAACGCUGGCGGCAGGCCUAACACAUGCAAGUCGAACGGGACCUUCGGGUCUAGUGGCGGACGGGUGAGUAACGCGUGGGAACGUGCCCUUUUCUACGGAAUAGCCUCGGGAAACUGGGAGUAAUACCGUAUAAGCUCGAGAGAGGAAAGAUUUAUCGGGAAAGGAUCGGCCCGCGUUGGAUUAGGUAGUUGGUGGGGUAAUGGCCUACCAAGCCGACGAUCCAUAGCUGGUUUGAGAGGAUGAUCAGCCACACUGGGACUGAGACACGGCCCAGACUCCUACGGGAGGCAGCAGUGGGGAAUCUUAGACAAUGGGGGAAACCCUGAUCUAGCCAUGCCGCGUGAUCGAUGAAGGCCUUAGGGUUGUAAAGCUCUUUCACCGGAGAAGAUAAUGACGGUAUCCGGAGAAGAAGCCCCGGCUAACUUCGUGCCAGCAGCCGCGGUAA
rnacentral:rRNA from 1 species